CAGAGUGCCAGAGCUGUGAACUUCGUCUUCUUUGCUAUUUGAUCUACGAAGUACAACCCCUGCAUAGAUGCAGAGAUCCUAGAAAAAAAGCAGCACUUCCAUAAUGAAGAAAAAUUAUCGAUUAAUGGAGAUUCGUCAUCGAUAGGACUUAUCAAGCGAACUCGUUAUUUCUUGUUACUAGAAAUUUAUCGCUUGACAAGAUCACAAAGAUAUACGGAAGGAAGUUCAUCGAGCUGACUGGUUAAAUUCUUGGAGGAUCAUUUGUCACACGUUUGUUGAGAUUUCAUCAAGGUCAUCUAGAAAGACAAAAGACGUAUUUUAAAGGACACGGCAAACUCGUUACGCCGUGCUAGCUCUUUCAUUCGACAAAUUUAAAUCACGGACUCGGAAGGAUCAUACGCGAUGACUUUCAAUGGAUUCGAGUAAUGACAUCGAGUGCUUCUCGGGACUUCCGUCGUCAAGUGGAACUGAUAAAUAUUCAUCGCCAGAGAGUAAAACAGCGAUCUAUGUACGUCACGAGCAUCAGGCAGAUCAUACUGAAGAGAAUGAGAAAUCGAUAUCUUGAGGAACAAAAGAAGAUUCGCCGAUUAAUUUUUCUUGAUGCAAUAUUCUCGAGUCGUUGUUGACACAUUCAAAAUAAUUUGACGUUGAAAAGAAUAAAGGUGACGUCGUCGUUGUUGAUGUCGACGGUGCAAAGGAUUUCCAUGGGAUACGGCUUGCAAUCGAUAUGCUUUGACGGCAGACAAAGGUUGCCCUGCGUGAAAGAAAAAGGGCUGUGUUAUGUCGCGUGCAUAGUAAAACUCAUAUGUG